UUGGAGGGCAAGUCUGGUGCCAGCAGCCGCGGUAAUUCCAGCUCCAAUAGCGUAUAUUAAAGUUGUUGCAGUUAAAAAGCUCGUAGUUGAAUUUCGGGAUCAGUACGCCGGUCGUGCCCUCGGUAUGUACUGGUGUCACUGAUUCCUCCCUUCUGACGAACCGUUAUGCCAUUUAUUUGGUGUGGCGGGGAAUCAGGACUGUUACUCUGAAAAAAUUAGAGUGUUUAAAGCAGGCUCGCGCUUGAAUACAUUAGCAUGGAAUAAUGAAAUAGGACGUUUGAUUCUAUUUUGUUGGUUUCUAGGAUCGACGUAAUGAUUAAUAGGGAUAGUUGGGGGCAUUAGUAUUCAAUUGUCAGAGGUGAAAUUCUUGGAUUUAUUGGAGACUAACCACCGCGAAAGCAUUUGCCAAGGAUGUUUUCAUUAAUCAAGAACGAAAGUUAGGGGAUCGAAGACGAUCAGAUACCGUCGUAGUCUUAACCAUAAACUAUGCCGACUAGGGAUCGGAUGAUGUAUUUAAUUCC
rnacentral:rRNA from 1 species